rnacentral:tRNA from 1 species
CGCUGCACAGCUAUUCCAGCAUUAACCUUUUAAGUUAAAGAUUGAGGGCAUGCCCUCUGCAGUGAA